AUAGACCCACGGAUGACCAGAG
rnacentral:piRNA from 1 species